AAAGUCGUAACAAGGUUUCCGUAGGUGAACCUGCGGAAGGAUCAUUAAUAAGUGAAGUUGGCCUUCGGGUCCUCCUCUUCUUAAACACUUGCAUACCUUUCCCUCUUCUUUCCGCAUCAGCGAUGGUGCGGAACAUCAUAUAUAACUCUGUUUAACCGUAAUGUCUGAAUAAAUCUUAAUAAGUUAAAACUUUCAACAACGGAUCUCUUGGUUCUC
rnacentral:misc_RNA from 1 species